rnacentral:rRNA from 1 species
GACGAACGCUGGCGGCGUGCUUAACACAUGCAAGUCGAACGGAAAGGCCCUGCUUUUGUGGGGUGCUCGAGUGGCGAACGGGUGAGUAACACGUGAGUAACCUGCCCUUGACUUUGGGAUAACUUCAGGAAACUGGGGCUAAUACCGGAUAGGAGCUCCUGCUGCAUGGUGGGGGUUGGAAAGUUUCGGCGGUUGGGGAUGGACUCGCGGCUUAUCAGCUUGUUGGUGGGGUAGUGGCUUACCAAGGCUUUGACGGGUAGCCGGCCUGAGAGGGUGACCGGCCGCAUUGGGACUGAGAUACGGCCCAGACUCCUACGGGAGGGAGCAGUGGGGAAUAUUGCACAAUGGGCGGAAGCCUGAUGCAGCAACGCCGCGUGCGGGAUGACGGCCUUCGGGUUGUAAACCGCUUUCGCCUGUGACGAAGCGUGAGUGACGGUAAUGGGUAAAGAAGCACCGGCUAACUACGUG